UACAGAGACCUCAAGCGUUAUCCGGAAUCAUUGGGCGUAAAGCGUACCGAUAGGUGGUUUAUUAAGUUUUGGGUAAGAGCCAGAAGCUCAACUUCUGCGUUUGCUCAAGAUACUGAUAGACUAGAGGGACAAAGAGGUUGCUGGAACGAACGGUGUAGUAGUGAAAUGCGUUGAUAUCGUUCGGAACACCGAAAGCGAAGGCAGGCAACUGGGUGUCACCUGACACUGCUAGGACGAAAGCGUGGGGAGCGAAUGGG
rnacentral:rRNA from 1 species